rnacentral:rRNA from 1 species
AGAGUUUGAUCAUGGCUCAGGAUGAACGCUGGCGGCGUGCCUAAUACAUGCAAGUCGAGCGAACGGACGAGAAGCUUGCUUCUCUGAUGUUAGCGGCGGACGGGUGAGUAACACGUGGAUAACCUACCUAUAAGACUGGGAUAACUUCGGGAAACCGGGGCUAAUACCGGAUAAUAUUUUAAACCGCAUGGUUCAAAAGUGAAAGACGGUCUUGCUGUCACUUAUAGAUGGAUACGCGCUGCAUUAGCUAGUUGGUAAGGUAACGGCUUACCAAGGCAACGAUGCAUAGCCGACCUGAGAGGGCGAUCGGCCACACUGGAACUGAGACACGGUCCAGACUCCUACGGGAGGCAGCAGUAGGGAAUCUUCCGCAAUGGGCGAAAGCCUGACGGAGCAACGCCGCGUGAGUGAUGAAGGUCUUCGGAUCGUAAAACUCUGUUAUUAGGGAAGAACAUAUGUGUAAGUAACUGUGCACAUCUUGACGGUACCUAAUCAGAAAGCCACGGCUAACUACGUGCCAGCAGCCGCGGUAAUACGUAGGUGGCAAGCGUUAUCCGGAAUUAUUGGGCGUAAAGCGCGCGUAGGCGGUUUUUUAAGUCUGAUGUGAAAGCCCACGGCUCAACCGUGGAGGGUCAUUGGAAACUGGAAAACUUGAGUGCAGAAGAGGAAAGUGGAAUUCCAUGUGUAGCGGUGAAAUGCGCAGAGAUAUGGAGGAACACCAGUGGCGAAGGCGACUUUCUGGUCUGUAACUGACGCUGAUGUGCGAAAGCGUGGGGAUCAAACAGGAUUAGAUACCCUGGUAGUCC